AAUAGAUACCCCGGUAGUCCACGCCGUAAACGAUGAGUGCUAAGUGUUGGGGGGUUUCCGCCCCUCAGUGCUGCAGCUAACGCAUUAAGCACUCCGCCUGGGGAGUACGGUCGCAAGACUGAAACUCAAAGGAAUUGACGGGGGCCGGCACAAGCGGUGGAGCAUGUGGUUUAAUUCGAAGCAACGCGAAGAACCUUACCAGGUCUUGACAUCCCGGUGACCACUAUGGAGACAUAGUUUCCCCUUCGGGGGCAACGGUGACAGGUGGUGCAUGGUUGUCGUCAGCUCGUGUCGUGAGAUGUUGGGUUAAGUCCCGCAACGAGCGCAACCCUUAUUCUUAGUUGCCAUCAUUCAGUUGGGCACUCUAAGGAGACUGCCGGUGAUAAACCGGAGGAAGGUGGGGAUGACGUCAAAUCAUCAUGCCCCUUAUGACCUGGGCUACACACGUGCUACAAUGGACGGUACAAACGGUUGCCAACCCGCGAGGGGGAGCUAAUCCGAUAAAACCGUUCUCAGUUCGGAUUGUAGGCUGCAACUCGCCUAC
rnacentral:rRNA from 1 species